rnacentral:rRNA from 1 species
ACUGUAGGCUGCAACUCGCCUACACGAAGUCGGAAUCGCUAGUAGUCGCGGAUCAGCAUGCCGCGGUGAAUACGUUCCCGGGCCUUGUACACACCGCCCGUCACACCAUGGGAGUUUGUAACGCCCAAAGUCGGUGGCCUAACCUUUAUGGAGGGAGCCGCCUAAGGCGGGACAGAUGACUGGGGUGAAGUCGUAACAAGGUAUC